rnacentral:rRNA from 1 species
GACAGAGGUCCCGAGCGUUAGGCGGAAUCACUGGGCUUAAAGCGUGUGUAGGCGGAUCGUUAAGUGCCUUGUGAAAUCCCACGGCUUAACCGUGGAACUGCUUGGCAUACUGGCGGUCUUGAGCAACCUAGGGGCGAGCGGAACAAAUGGUGGAGCGGUGAAAUGCGUAGAUAUCAUUUGGAACGCCAAUGGUGAAAACAGCUCGCUGGGGGUUUGCUGACGCUGAGACACGAAAGCCAGGGGAGCAAAGCGGG